rnacentral:rRNA from 1 species
AGUGAACGCUGGCGGUAGGCCUAACACAUGCAAGUCGAACGGCAGCACAGUAAGAGCUUGCUCUUACGGGUGGCGAGUGGCGGACGGGUGAGGAAUACAUCGGAAUCUACUUUUUCGUGGGGGAUAACGUAGGGAAACUUACGCUAAUACCGCAUACGACCUACGGGUGAAAGCAGGGGAUCUUCGGACCUUGCGCGAUUGAAUGAGCCGAUGUCGGAUUAGCUAGUUGGCGGGGUAAAGGCCCACCAAGGCGACGAUCCGUAGCUGGUCUGAGAGGAUGAUCAGCCACACUGGAACUGAGACACGGUCCAGACUCCAACGGGAGGCAGCAGUGGGGAAUAUGGGACAAUGGGCGCAAGCCUGAUCCAGCCAUACCGCGUGGGUGAAGAAGGCCUUCGGGUUGUAAAGCCCUUUUGUUGGGAAAGAAAAGCAGCAGGUUAAUACCCCGCUGUUCUGACGGUACCCAAAGAAUAAGCACCGGCUAACUUCG